GGAGGGUUGGCAGAGAGGUCUAUCGCGCUGCCCUGCUAAGGCAGACCGGGCCCGCCCGGCGUCGGUUCGAAUCCGACACCCUCCUCCA
rnacentral:tRNA from 1 species